CCCGGGCGGACUGGUACCCCGACGUUGUUCGUUCGCGCCGACGAAGGGGGAAACCUCCGGUGUCCUGGCUGCCCUGCGACGGUCGUGCAGCAGAGGAGCGAUGCAUCUCUCUCUCGCGGCGUGCAAAAGGUCGGUGACCCACCCGACCCGUCUUGAAACACGGACCAAGGAGUCUAACAUGUGUGCGAGUCAUUGGGCGCACUAAACCCAGAGGCGAAAUGAAAGUGAAAGGAGAGCUCGCUCUCCGGGGCCGAUCCCCGACCGGCUGUUGCCGCCGCAGUUCCCAUCCCAAAGCGAGGUACCAAAGGGGGUGGGCGGAGUGAGUACCUUUCCUCCGUCCGCCUCUGGCCUCGUGGGUUCUGGGCGCGCACGACGGUCCGGCUCCUUCGCGGGAGUCGCUCGUACGCGGGAGGGCGCAGGCCCGGGACUUGCCAUUCGACGCCGCGCGCAAAUCUGUUGUUGGCCUCGCCGGCUCUGCUUGGGCUCUCGG
rnacentral:rRNA from 1 species